rnacentral:rRNA from 1 species
UGAGGAAUAUUGGGCAAUGCCCGCAAGGGUGACCCAGCAACGCCGCGUGGAGGAUGAAUGUCGUAAGAUUGUAAACUCCUGUUAGAGGGGAAGAAUAGUACCGGUUGGACCGGUAUAUGACUGUACCCUCAGAGAAAGCCCCGGCUAACUACGUGCCAGCAGCCGCGGUAAUACGUAGGGGGCGAGCGUUGUCCGGAUUUACUGGGUGCAAAGGGUGCUCAGGCGGAUUUGUAAGUCAGAGGUGAAAUCUUACAGCUUAACUGUGAAACUGCCUUUGAUACUGCAAGCCUAGAGUAUGGAAUAGAGUGAUGGAAAAUCUGGUGUAGGAGUGAAAUGCGUAGAUAUCAGAUAGAACACCAGUGGCGAAGGCAGUCACUUGGUCCAUUACUGACGCUAAAG